GAUGAACGCUAGCGGGAGGCCUAACACAUGCAAGCCGAGCGGUAGAGUUUCUUCGGAAACUUGAGAGCGGCGCACGGGUGCGUAACACGUGUGCAACCUACCUUUAUCUGGGGGAUAGCCUUUCGAAAGGAGGAUUAAUACCCCAUAAUAUAAUGAUUGGCAUCAAUUAUUAUUGAAAACUCCGGUGGAUAGAGAUGGGCACGCGCAAGAUUAGAUAGUUGGUGAGGUAACGGCUCACCAAGUCAAUGAUCUUUAGGGGUCCUGAGAGGGAGAUCCCCCACACUGGUACUGAGACACGGACCAGACUCCUACGGGAGGCAGCAGUGAGGAAUAUUGAACAAUGGGUGAGAGCCUGAUCCAGCCAUCCCGCGUGAAGGAUGACGGUCCUAUGGAUUGUAAACUUCUUUUGUACAGGGAUAAACCUACCCUCGUGAGGGUAGCUGAAGGUACUGUACGAAUAAGCACCGGCUAACUCCGUG
rnacentral:rRNA from 1 species